AUUAGUGUGACGCAGCGGAAGCGUGGUAGGCCCAUAACUCACAGGUCCUAAGAUCGAAACUUGACUUUGAUG
rnacentral:tRNA from 1 species